rnacentral:rRNA from 1 species
AACGAACGCUGGCGGCAGGCCUAACACAUGCAAGUCGAGCGAGGACUUCGGUCCUAGCGGCGGACGGGUGAGUAACGCGUGGGAACGUGCCCUUUGCUUCGGAAUAGCCCUGGGAAACUGGGAGUAAUACCGGAUGAGCCCUUUGGGGGAAAGAUUUAUCGGCGAAGGAUCGGCCCGCGUUGGAUUAGGUAGUUGGUGGGGUAAUGGCCUACCAAGCCGACGAUCCAUAGCUGGUUUGAGAGGAUGAUCAGCCACACUGGGACUGAGACACGGCCCAGACUCCUACGGGAGGCAGCAGUGGGGAAUCUUAGACAAUGGGGGAAACCCUGAUCAAGCCAUGCCGCGUGAGCGAUGAAGGCCUUAGGGUUGUAAAGCUCUUUCAGCUGGGAAGAUAAUGACGGUACCAGCAGAAGAAGCCCCGGCUAACUCCGUG